rnacentral:rRNA from 1 species
GUCGUACGAAAAAGAAAUUUUUAGUGGCGAACGGGUGAGUAACGCGUGAGAAUUUGCUUUUAGGUAGAGGAUAACUGGUAGAAAUACCAGCUAAUACUCUAUAAUCCUAUUUCUAAAAUAGUUAAAAAAAGAAAUUUGCCUAGAAAAAAGCUCGCGUCUGAUUAGCUAGUUGGUAAGGUAAAGGCUUACCAAGGCGACGAUCAGUAGCUGAUUUGAGAGGAUGAUCAGCCACACUGGAACUGAGACACGGUCCAGACUCCUACGGGAGGCAGCAGUGAGGAAUUUUCUGCAAUGGGCGAAAGCCUGACAGAGCAAUACCGCGUGAGGGAAUAAGAAGGCCUAUGGGUUGUAAACCUCUUUUCUCAAAGAAGAAGAUCUGACGUUAUUUGAGGAAUAAGCAUCGGCUAACCCUGUGCCAGCAGCCGCGGUAAGACAGGGGAUGCAAGUGUUAUCCGGAAUUAUUGGGCGUAAAGCGUCUGUAGGUUGAAUUCAAAGUCUUUUGUAAAAUCUUUAAGCUUAACUUAAAAACCGCAAAAGAUACUAGUUUUCUUGAGUAUGGUAGAGGUA